UGAAGUCCUUGCCUAUGCCUAUGUCCUGCAUGGUUUUGCCUAGGUUUUCUUCUGGGCUUUUUAUGGUGUUAGGUCUUAUGUUUAAGUCUUUAAUCCAUCUGGAGUUAAUUUUAGAUACAGUGUAAGGAAGGGGUCCAGUUUCAGCUUUCUGCAUAUGGCUAGCCAGUU